rnacentral:rRNA from 1 species
UACGGGAGGAGCAGGGGGAAUAUUGCACAAUGGGCGCAAGCCUGAUGCAGCCAUGCCGCGUGUAUGAAGAAGGCCUUCGGGUUGUAAAGUACUUUCAGUCGUGAGGAAGGUGUUAAGGUUAAUAACCUUAGCAAUUGACGUUAGCGACAGAAGAAGCACCGGCUAACUCCGUGCCAGCAGCCGCGGUAAUACGGAGGGUGCGAGCGUUAAUCGGAAUUACUGGGCGUAAAGGGCACGCAGGCGGUUAAUUAAGUUGGAUGUGAAAUCCCCGGGCUUAACCUGGGAAUGGCAUUCAAGACUGGUUAGCUAGAGUCUUGUAGAGGGGGUAGAAUUCCAUGUGUAGCGGUGAAAUGCGUAGAGAUGUGGAGGAAUACCGGUGGCGAAGGCGGCCCCUGGACAAAGACUGACGCUCAUGUGCGAAAGCGUGGGGAGCGAAACAGGGAUUAGAUACC